rnacentral:tRNA from 1 species
GCUCAGCUCGCUCAGUUGGUAGAACAUGAGACUCUUCAUCUCAGGGUUGUGAAUUCGAGCCCCAUGUUGGGCA